rnacentral:rRNA from 2 species
UGUUUCGGCUAGGGGGUCAUCCCGACUUACCAACCCGAUGCAAACUACGAAUACCGAAGAAUGUUAUCACGGGAGACACACGGCGGGUGCUAACGUCCGUCGUGAAGAGGGAAACAACCCAGACCGCCAGCUAAGGUCCCAAAGUCAUGGUUAAGUGGGAAACGAUGUGGGAAGGCACAGACAGCCAGGAUGUUGGCUUAGAAGCAGCCAUCAUUUAAAGAAAGCGUAAUAGCUCACUGGUCGAGUCGGCCUGCGCGGAAGAUGUAACGGGGCUAAACCAUGCACCGAAGCUGCGGCAGCGACACUAUGUGUUGUUGGGUAGGGGAGCGUUCUGUAAGCCUGCGAAGGUGUGCUGUGAGGC